rnacentral:piRNA from 1 species
UAGUUAAAAUUUCUAUUGUUUGGUCCUAG